rnacentral:rRNA from 1 species
UGGGGAAUAUUGGACAAUGGGCGAAAGCCUGAUCCAGCCAUGCCGCGUGUGUGAAGAAGGUCUUCGGAUUGUAAAGCACUUUAAGUUGGGAGGAAGGGCAGUAAGCGAAUACCUUGCUGUUUUGACGUUACCGACAGAAUAAGCACCGGCUAACUCUGUGCCAGCAGCCGCGGUAAUACAGAGGGUGCAAGCGUUAAUCGGAAUUACUGGGCGUAAAGCGCGCGUAGGUGGUUCGUUAAGUUGAAUGUGAAAGCCCCGGGCUCAACCUGGGAACUGCAGCCAAAACUGGCGAGCUAGAGUAGGGCAGAGGGUGGUGGAAUUUCCUGUGUAGCGGUGAAAUGCGUAGAUAUAGGAAGGAACACCAGUGGCGAAGGCGACCACCUGGGCUCAUACUGACACUGAUGUGCGAAAGCGUGUGGAGCAAACAGG